AAUCUUCCACAAUGGGUGCAAACCUGAUGGAGCAAUGCCGCGUGAAUGAAGAAGGUCUUCGGAUCGUAAAGUUCUGUUAUUAGAGAAGAACAAGUCAAGGAGUAACUGUCUUGACUUGGACGGUACCUAACCAGAAAGUCACGGCUAACUACGUGCCAGCAUCCGCGGUACUACGUAGGUGACAAGCGUUGUCCGGAAUUAUUGUGCGUAAAGGGAGCGCAGGCGGUUGGAAUAGUCUGAUGGGAAAGCCCACGGCUUAACCGUGGAAGGUCAUUGGAAACUGUCCAACUUGAAUGCAGAAGAGGUAAGUGGAAUUCCAUGUGUGGCGGUGAAAUGCGUAGAUAUAUGGAGGAACACCAGUGGCGAAGGCGACUUACUGGUCUGUGAUUGACGCUGAGGCUCGAAAGCGUGGGUAGCGAACA
rnacentral:rRNA from 1 species